UACAGAGGGGGCAAGCGUUGUUCGGAAUUACUGGGCGUAAAGGGCGCGUAGGCGGCCUUCUAAGUCGAACGUGAAAUCCCCGGGCUCAACCCGGGAACUGCGUCCGAUACUGGAAGGCUUGAAUCCGGGAGAGGGAUGCGGAAUUCCAGGUGUAGCGGUGAAAUGCGUAGAUAUCGGGAGGAACACCAGUGGCGAAGGCGACUACCUGGCCUGUUCUUGACGCUGAGGCGCGAAAGCUAGGGUAGCAAACGGG
rnacentral:rRNA from 1 species